CUCUCCUCUCCCCGUCAGCGCGAGUGCGUGGGUCGCGGCGUGCGGAGAGCGAGGAGGAGAGGACAGACGCGUGAGGAAGAGGAGGCCACGACCGUCGGCUCCUCUCCUCUCCCCGUUGGCUCCUCUCCUCUCCCCGUCGGCGCCAGCACGCUGGUCGUGCCUCUCCCCGUUGGCUCCUCUCCUCUCCCCGUCGGCGCCAGUGCGCUGGUCGUGAGGUAUGAGGAGCGUACGGCCCAUUGCAGCCGCCGUGGGGCGUGGUUGCGGAUCAGCGCAGGUCACCGCCGUGGGAGAGGUGUGUCGUGGUUCCGGAUUGGCGUAGGUCGCCGCCGCCGAAGAGCAAGGGUGGCCUGGUCUUGUGGUGCUUGUGGAGGAGCAGGGGUGGCCCUUCUCCUACAUCACCACAUCAAGUAGGAGGAGGAGGUCCUCGUCAUCCAUCACAAGCAGAACCGUUGCCUCCACGUCGCUCUAUAAACGUGCUGCUGCCACUGCCAGGUGUAUAAAACUGUGUCCGCUGCAAUGGAGAAACCUAGCCGUCGCCCGCCCCCGCGUCCCCCCGAGCCCCCCUUGCCGCCACCACCCCUUCCUUCUGCCCCGUGCCGGACCCUACCUCCUGUCCUCUUCUUCCUCCCGCUACCCUCAUCCCUUCUUACCGCCGCCGAGUCCUCUCCUCUCCCCGUCGGCGCGAGUGUGUGGGUCGCGGCGUGCGGAGAGCGAGGAGGAGAGGACAGACGCGUGAGGAAGAGGAGGCCACGGCCGUCGGCUCCUCUCCCCGUUGGCUCCUCUCCUCUCCCCGUCGGCGCCAGCACGCUGGUCGUGCCUCUCCCCGUUGGCUCCUCUCCUCUCCCCGCCGGCGCCAGUGCGCUGGUCGUGAGGCGUGAGGAGCGUACGGCCCGUUGCAGCCGCCGUGGGGCGUGGUUGCGGAUCAACGCAGGUCACCGCCGUGGGAGAGGUGUGUCGUGGUUCCGGAUUGGCGCAGGUCGCCGGCGCCGAAGAGCAAGGGUGGCCUGGUCUUGUGGUGCUUGUGGAGGAGCAGGGGUGGCCCUUCUCCUACAUCACCACAUCAAGUAGGAGGAGGAGGUCCUCGUCAUCCAUCACAACCGUCAGGGACUUGCUGACACUGGAUCCAGUGGGGAGGAGAUCCUUUAGGCAUUUGAUUCUUGUGAUGGAUCAUCCUGAAAAACAGGUUGAGUGCAUCAGCUACUUCCAUGGCAAUGGAUUUAAGGAAUGCACAUCAACGAGGCACAUUAUCUAACUCGUAUAAACUUAUCAUUGUUUUUACCUUUUCAUGCAGUUUUCCUUUACGAUUUUAGAUGACAUCUUAGCAGAAAGAAUAUAGUUGUGAAAUUUACUGCAAAUGUAAGCCUUGGAGUUUCAUAUUCACCUUGAAGUAUUCUUGAAAUGAAAGAUAGGCUUUGUUGGUUCCUCAGUUUGGAGAACUAGAGUUAUGGCGAUACAUAUUUGGGUAUUGAAACUAUCUGUGUUUGUGAUCAGCUCAUUUUUGUGUUGGAUGCUUAUUUAGCUAGCAGAGACGGCGCCAUCUCCGGCCGCCGGCGCUCUGCAGUGAUGCCUAAAACUGAGUUGUUGUUUAGGCCUCCUUCGGUUCGUAGAUAGGAAUAUCAUCCUGUAGGGAAAGAGACUUCAUUUGAUGCAUAUAUAUAUACUAUGCUGCAUACUUUGUAGAUUUGUAUGGUUCCUAAAUAUACGACAAUGUUUGAUUAAUUUUUGUUCCAGAAAGAAGUAUCUAUCCUGUUUAUAAGGAUCCAUAUUGCAGGAUAUCAAAAUUAGUCAUUACUCAAUGCAGCCAUAUAGAUGACUGCAAAGCAAAAUUUUCAUAUCCUAAACUAUGAUUAAUACAUAGUGAUGAGCAUUUUUUCCUGUUUUACCACAGAUUGCCAUGGUCCAUGUGUUGAAAUCUGAAAUUUUUGAAUAUAUACUACUGGGUUAGUUUUAUUGUGGUAGGAUUAACUGAAGCAUAACUUAAAUGUGGCAUGUCAUUGUAAGAAGAAUCAGCUUUUGAUUAGUAUUUUGAAAUAGGAUAAAAUGAUUCAUCCAUUGAACGCGAAGAGUUCCUACCGGUAUUUGUUGGAUGACGACAAAAAAUAACUUGGGCCGUUCUAGCCCUGUUCCAAACUUCACUCGUAGAGGGUUGAGGGCGGGUGGCAGACGUCCAACCUAGAGCGCUUCAUGUACUGCACCAUCCUGGACGUCAAGGCCCACAUUCUUCUGAGGUGACACUAUUGCACCUCUCAAACCUGGCACCUUAAAUGCUUUGUCGUGUUCAAUUUUCACUGUUGCACCUCUCAAACCUGGCACCUUAAAUGCUUUGUCAUGUUCAAUUUUGCUCAAGAGUUCUGACAGUUUAAGGAUCUGUCAUUGCUUGUAUCUGUUGUGCGUGACAUGACCUUCUAAUUACCAAAUUAGUGCUCAUUGUUCGAUCAUAGACAUGAAAUGUUGAAUAAUGGUAUAGUAUACAUGUAAUGUGUCCGCUCUAUUUCCCUCUUCUCUAUUUUAAGAAUUUUUUUUGCUGCCUGCAGAGAACGAAAUUUGUUUUCUGCUGACACUAUGCAUACUGCCUAAUAAAUACACACACCUGUUGAUCCCCUGUUUUCUUGCUGUUUGACAAAUAGUACAAGCAAAGCAAGUUCAGGUGCUAUUCUAUUUAGAAAUAGCUACACAACACAUAUCAUUUAGUUACUAUGAUCAUUGUGUGUCUCGCUAGAAAUUAAUACACACACAGGCACAUAUAGAAUCAUAAACCGCACUUACUCCCAGUAUCUUCUUCCAUACGAGGUCGGAGGCGAGCUUCCUGGCGACGGCGGCGGCGCUGGAUUUGCUCAUGGGUUGGUGGUGUAUCUACCGCUGACCUCCGGCACAGAUACGCCGACCUCCGGGGCCCCAGCCCCUCCGCCCCCGGCCUCACCUUUCCCGUGUCCGCCCUCGCCAAGCAUUGAAUCUGCCGACCACCAGGUAUCAGUCCCGAAAAGAAAGAGGACUAUGGACCUGAGUGGGAAUGGAGGCAGGAUAUUCUUCUGGAUGGCUAUGCUGAGGUGGUGGUUGGUCCGAUCCAUGGUGUACGCAAAAUCGGUCAACAUGGUGGAGUUGUGCUGUGGGGAGGACACUGGUUUGGAGAUCUAGGCGACUAUCUGCGUGCUGGGUGGAUCAGUAGCCCACCUCGGGAUAGAGGCAAGCGGCGCUUCACGUGUGCCUCGCCAUGCCGCAACAGUGGCGUUGACAAUGUUUAAUCCUAAGACCACUAUUUUUGUGUCUAUAUGCAGUGUUCACUUUGUCUAUAUCUUGGCAAUGUUUAAUCAUAAAACCACUAAUUCUAUGUCUAUAUGCAGUGUUCACUUCAUCUAUAUCAUAUUUAUUUUAUAUGACAAAUCAUCUUUCGAAAUUAACCAAGCCUAACUACAACAGUAGGAAUAUGGUGAAAACUAAUAUGAAACAACAACUUUUGUCACAUAUACCAAACCAAGGUUGCUUAUCAGUAAACACCUCAUUAUUUAGCAUAUGCUUUAGGGCCAAAUUAUGUUUCAUGUGCCAUUAUUAUUGCCUUUUUUAAUACAUUAUUUAAAUCCUUACGUGACACCAAUCUUAAACAGGUCCGUCUAUCAACGAUGUCGAGAAAGCUCUGCCACAAGAAAGUGAUGACUCUGCCUGGUGUCACCGGCUUCAUGUUUUGCUCCUCCGUACCCAUAGACUAGAAGACUAGGGCUAUAUAGAUUGAUUUCUAAAACCAAUGUAAAUAAGCUGUUUUCGGCUAUCAUGCUACCUCGCAUUGUAAUAUAUAUUGCUAUGUAUGAACAUAUGCUA